CCCUUAGAUGUCCUGGGCCGCACGCGCGCUACACUGAUGCAUUCAACGAGUCUACCUUGGCCGAGAGGCCUGGGCAACCUUUUAAACGUGCAUCGUGAUAGGGAUAGAUUAUUGCAAUUAUUAAUCUUGAACGAGGAAUUCCUAGUAAACGCAAAUCAUCAAUUUGCAUUGAUUACGUCCCUGCACUUUGUACACGCCGCCCGUCGCACCUACCGAUUGAAUGGUCCGGUGAGGACUCGGGAUUUUUACCAGUUUCCUUCAUUGGGAAUUGGUGAGGAGAACUUGUCCAAACCUUAUCAUUUAGAGGAAGGUGAAGUCGUAACA
rnacentral:rRNA from 1 species